rnacentral:rRNA from 1 species
UACGUAGGGUGCAAGCGUUAAUCGGAAUCACUAGGCGUAAAGCGCAGGUAGGCGGUUCGGUAAGUCUCUUGUGAAAUCCCCGGGCUCAACCUGGGAAUGGCAAUGGAUACUGGCUGGCUAGAGUGUGUCAGAGGAUGGUGGAAUUCCCGGUGUAGCGGUGAAAUGCGUAGAGAUCGGGAGGAACAUCAGUGGCGAAGGCGGCCAUCUGGGACAACACUGACGCUGAAGCACGAAAGCGUGGGGAGCAAACAGGG